rnacentral:rRNA from 1 species
GACAGAGGGGGCAAGCGUUGCUCGGAAUCACUGGGCGUAAAAGGGCGCGUAGGCGGGAUGGCAAGUCAGUCGUGAAAUCUCUCGGCUCAACCGAGAAACGUCGGCUGAUACUGCCGUUCUUGAGGGAUGCAGAGGAGACUGGAAUUCCCGGUGUAGCGGUGAAAUGUGUAGAGAUCGGGAGGAACACCGGUGGCGAAGGCGGGUCUCUGGGCAUCUCCUGACGCUGAGGCGCGAAAGCGUGGGGAGCAAACGGGG